rnacentral:rRNA from 1 species
UACGUAGGGGGCGAGCGUUAUCCGGAAUUACUGGGUGUAAAGGGAGCGUAGACGGCGAGGUAAGCCUGAAGUGGAAGCCCGCGGCCCAACCGCGGAACUGCUUUGGGAACUGUUUUGCUGGAGUAUGGGAGGGGUAAGCGGAAUUCCUGGUGUAGCGGUGAAAUGCGUAGAUAUUAGGAGGAACACCAGUGGCGAAGGCGGCCUACUGGACGGUGACUGACGCUGAGGCUCGAAAGCGUGGGGAGCAAACAGG